AGCAGUACCGUGAGGGAAAGGUGAAAAGAACCCCGGGAGGGGAGUGAAAUAGAACCUGAAACCAUGUGCCUACAACCGAUCAAAGCACCUUAUGUGUGUGAUGAUGUGCUUUUUGUAGAACGAGCCAACGAGUUACGGUAUGUAGCGAGGUUAAGUACUUAAGGUACGGAGCCGAAGGGAAACCGAGUCUUAAUAGGGCGACUAGUUGCAUGCUGUAGACCCGAAACCGGGUGACCUAUCCAUGGCCAGGUUGAAGCGAGGGUAAAACCUCGUGGAGGACCGAACCACGUUGCUGUUGAAAAAGCAUGGGAUGAGCUGUGGAUAGCGGAGAAAUUCCAAUCGAACUCGGAUAUAGCUGGUUCUCCUCGAAAUAGCUUUAGGGCUAGCGUCGGAAAAUGUGAGUAGUGGAGGUAGAGCACUGAAUAGGCUAGGGGGCAUAGCGCUUACCGAACCUUAUCAAACUCCGAAUGCCACAUACUAUCAGUCCGGCAGUCAGACUAUGAAAGAUAAGUUCCAUGGUCAAAAGGGAAACAGCCCAGAUCGUCAGCUAAGGUCCCAAAGUGUAAGUUAAGUGGAAAAGGAUGUGGGAUUUCUAAGACAACUAGGAUGUUGGCUUAGAAGCAGCCACUCAUUAAAAGAGUGCGUAAUAGCUCACUAGUCAAGAGAUCCUGCGCCGAAAAUGUCCGGGGCUCAAACUUACCACCGAAGCUACGGGUUCA
rnacentral:rRNA from 1 species